UAUUUCAAAAGGACUAGGUUUUAAACAAUUGACAGGUAAUCUUAAACAAAAUGGUGGUGUUGAAUGUGGAUAUUGUGUGAUGCGGUACAUGAAAGAGAUAGUCUUAGAUGAAUAUCCACAAUUGGAGAGAAAGUUUGCAGCAUCAAAAAAUAAACAGUAUUACAAUCAAUCUCAGUAUGAUGAAGUCAGAAGUGAAUGGAGCGAAUUUGUCUAUUUCUAUGUGGGUGCCUAAGUGCAGGC